GCCUCUGAAUAGCUCAGUCGGUAGAGCAUGAGACUCUUAAUUCCAGGGUUGCGGGUUCAAGUCCCACAUUGGGUG